AGUUUGUGUGAGUCAAACAAGAAGAAUGUUUGUUGGACUUUUUCCUACCUCACACCGAACUUACCUUCCUGACCACCGGAGAACUCACCGGCGACACCAUCACCGGAACACCCAGCCACUCUGUUUCUUCAGGGAGAGAGAGGGUGUUUGUUGAAUGGUGUGAGCGGGUUCUGAAUCUGAAGCAGAUCAAUGGGGAAUUGCAAUGCGUGCUGACUGCUGAAGGAGGUGAACCCGCGGACUCGAAUUGUGCUUAUGAUAGUUUUGUGGUUUAUUGAUGGAUUGUGGGGAGACCUUACUAUAUGGCACCUGAGAUUGAUAUUUGGAGUGCUGGUGUGAUUCUUUAUAUUUUGUUAUGUGGGGUCUUGGGCAGAGACUGAACAAGGGGUUGCUUUGGCGAUUUUGAGAGGGGUUAUUGACUUCAAGAGGGAGCCUUGGCCUCAGAUUUCGGAUUGUGUAUGCUCACUAGUGAAUUCAUGGGUUUAUUGGAUGAUGGCCAGUUCCUGUGUUAAUCUUCAUCUUGCUUAAUGAACAUUCCUGGCUGCAAAAUGCAAAGAAAGCUUCAAAUGUACCAUUAGGAGAUAUUGUCAGGGCAAGGCUUAGGCAGUUCUCAGUAAUGAAUAGACUCAAAAAGAGAGCUCUUCGGGUAUAAUUGCAGAACAUUUACCCGUUGAAGAGGUAGAAAUAAUCAAAGAUAUGUUUACCUUGAUGGAUACUGACAAAGAUGGCAGAGUAUCAUAUCAGGAGCUGAAGGCUGGUUUGCAGAAGGUUGGUUCAAAAUUGGCUGAGCCAGAGAUAAAGUUGCUGAUGGACGUGGGGGGAGAGAUUUUCAGAGAUUGUGGGGAGUCCUUACUAUAUGUCACCUGAGGUAUUGAAGAGGAAUUAUGGACCUGAGGUUGGGGUGCCUCCAUUCUGGGCAGGUACUUCUAUUGUUCAUCUUCAUCCUGCUUAAUGAACAUCCCUGGCUGCAAAAUGCAAAGAAAGCUUCAAAAGUAUCAUUACUGUAAGGACAAGGCUUUGGCAGUUCUCAGUAAUGAAAAGAUUCAAGAAGAGAUCUUUUUGGGUUAGCAUCUACUGUGGUUGAUGCAUGAUUGUUGAGUUGAGUUCUGUUUUUUAUUGAAGCAAUAUGGAAGUUGAAAUGUUGGUGAUUUGUGUGUCUUUGAAUAAAUGCCACCGGUAAUUGCAGAGCGUUUAUCUGUUGAAGGGGUAGAAAUAAUCAAAGACAUGUUUACCUUGACGGAUACUGACAAAGAUGGCAGCGUAUCAUAUGAGGAGCUGAAGGCUGGUUUGCAGAACGUUGGUUCAAAAUUGGCUUGCCCAGAGAUAAAGUUGCUGAUGGACGUGGAUCAACCACAACACUGUUUCUCUGUGCAAGGAUGUGCGGUGAUGGGUUCGAAAGAAAAACGAUCUCGAGCAAUCACUUCUCCCACCGCAUCAGGGAGAUGCUUCUUCUGGGGGCAUAGUCAGACGUUCAAUUUUUGCCAAAUCUAGCGUUCAAUUUUCGCAAAUUCUUCUCGAUUUCGCCCUCAAUUCAAGUUUUGGAAAAUCACCAGAGAAUUUGUGUUUAUUAACUCCGAAUUUCUGCGCAUCCUUUUAUUUACGUUUCAAUUGAAUUUGUUUUGCGUGGGGAGUGUAGGUUGGGCCUCAUCAUACAAAUAUCAGAUUUCUUGCUAAGUGCCCUCUGUGUCUUACCAUUGAACUUAAUAUUUGGCGACAAAAUAUGGCUUUUAUAUGCAUAUACAUGGAGUCCUGAAUUGAAGAGUAUGAUAGUUGAUCAGGAUUUAUCCAGAUGAGUUCGCUAUGGAAGAAAAACAGAGAGUGGAUUAGUGGUGUGGUUGAAGAGAGAAUAGACGAGUGGGUUAGUGGAGAAUAAACCAGAAAUACGAAAGACUUAACGGACUGAAUUAGGCUUACAGAUUAGGUGAGCACGAUAGUCCAGUUGUCAUAUUUUAAGAGGGCAACAGUGCUAACAGCACCAAUGGGACUGUAUUUGUCUAUUAUGGUUGCAGAACAUUCCUGCUACAAAAUGCAAAGAAAGCUUCAAAUGUACCAUUAGGAGAUAUUGUGAGGAUGGCUUAGGCAGUUCUCUGAAAUGAAUAGAUUCAAGAGGAGAGCUCUCCGGAACAUUUAUCCCUUGAAGAGGUAGAAAUAAUCAAAGAUAUGUUGACAAAGAUGGCAGACUAACAUAUGAGGAGCUGAAGGCUGGUUUGCAGAAGGUUGGCUCAAAACUGGCUGAGCCAGAGAUAAAGUUGAUGAUAGACGUGCUACAGGGGCAGCGGGAGGAUUGGCUACAUUGUGGAGAAUUGGUACCUAGGAGGUGGUAAACUCUAUUUGUGAAGAGAGGUACAUUCUUUUGUUUGUUAAGUUGCCUGGUGUUGUUGCUGUCCUCAUGGUAGGGAAUCUUUAUGGGGCUCAUUCAGGGGAGGAGAGUAGGAACUGUAUGAGGGGUUAUUGGGGCAUUUGAGAGGGCAUGAUGGGGGAGUAAUUCUGGGAGGGGAUUUUAACACUGUUUUAAAAGGUGGGGAGAGGGAAAAUGCAGCAGGCUUGGGGGAUGAAAGUUUUAGGGAGUUUGUGGGGGAGGCAGAGUUAAUUGAUUUCCCUUUACAAAAUGCUGAAUUUACUUGGUUCUAAUCUUGGAAUGGUGGAUGGUGGAGGAGUCUUGGUAGAUGGAUGGUCAUGGAGGAUUUCUUAAUGAUGUGUACUAAUUAACCAGUUUGACUACUUAUGGCACUUGGUUUCUUGUGUGGGUAUUCAGCAUGUUCUGAGAGAGGGUAUCGUUCAGGCAGAUUUAUGGGCAAAUCAGGGGUGUGAUAGACAUGCUCCUCAUUCUUGUGUGGGUAUUCAGCAUGUUCCUCAUUUAUGUAGCUUACAUGAGAGAGAUGUUCUCAUGAUUUUCAGUUAAUUUUCAAUAAAGCUUUUUGUUUCAGAAAAAUAAGAA